UACGUAGGGUGCGAGCGUUGUCCGGAAUUACUGGGCGUAAAGAGCUCGUAGGUGGUUUGUCGCGUUGUUCGUGAAAACUCACAGCUCAACUGUGGGCGUGCGGGCGAUACGGGCGGACUGGAGUACUGCAGGGGAGACUGGAAUUCCUGGUGUAGCGGUGGAAUGCGCAGAUAUCUGGAGGAACACCAGUGGCGAAGGCGGCUUCCUGGCCUGCAACUGACGCUGAGACGCGAAAGCGUGGGGAGCGAACCGG
rnacentral:rRNA from 1 species